UACGAAGGGUGCAAGCGUUACUCGGAAUUACUGGGCGUAAAGCGUGCGUAGGCGGUUUGUUAAGUCUGUCGUGAAAGCCCCGGGCUCAACCUGGGAAUGGCGAUGGAUACUGGCGAGCUAGAGUACGGUAGAGGAGAGUGGAAUUCCCGGUGUAGCAGUGAAAUGCGUAGAGAUCGGGAGGAACAUCAGUUGCGAAGGCGGCUCUCUGGACCAGUACUGACGCUGAGGCACGAAAAGCGUGGGGAGCAAACAGG
rnacentral:rRNA from 1 species